AGAGUUUGAUCAGUGGCUCAGGACGAACGCUGGCGGCGUGCUUAACACAUGCAAGUCGAACGGUGAAGGGAAGCUUGCUUCCCGGAUCAGUGGCGAACGGGUGAGUAACACGUGGGCAAUCUGCCCCAGACUUUGGGAUAACUACUCGAAAGAGUAGCUAAUACCGAAUAUUCAGCCUUGCAGGCAUCUGCGAGGCUGGAAAGUUUCUCGGUCUGGGAUGAGCCCGCGGCCUAUCAGCUAGUUGGUGAGGUAAUGGGCUCACCAAGGCGACGACGGGUAGCCGGCCUGAGAGGGCGACCGGCCACACUGGGACUGAGACACGGCCCAGACUCCUACGGGAGGCAGCCGUGGGGAAUAUUGCGCAAUGGGCGAAAGCCUGACGCAGCAACGCCGCGUGCGGGAUGAAGGCCUUCGGGUUGUAAACCGCUUUCAGCAGGGAAGAAGCGAAAGUGACGGUACCUGCAGAAGAAGCACCGGCUAACUACGUG
rnacentral:rRNA from 1 species